rnacentral:rRNA from 1 species
GUCCUAAGGUAGCGAAAUUCCUUGUCGGGUAAGUUCCGACCCGCACGAAUGGCGUAACGAUGGCCACACUGUCUCCUCCCGAGACUCAGCGAAGUUGAAGUGGUUGUGAAGAUGCAAUCUACCCGCUGCUAGACGGAAAGACCCCGUGAACCUUUACUGUAGCUUUGCAUUGGACUUUGAAGUCACUUGUGUAGGAUAGGUGGGAGGCUUGGAAGCAGAGACGCCAGUCUCUGUGGAGUCGUCCUUGAAAUACCACCCUGGUGUCUUUGAGGUUCUAACCCAGACCCGUCAUCCGGGUCGGGGACCGUGCAUGGUAGGCAGUUUGACUGGGGCGGUCUCCUCCCAAAGCGUAACGGAGGAGUUCGAAGGUUACCUAGGUCCGGUCGGAAAUCGGACUGAUAGUGCAAUGGCAAAAGGUAGCUUAACUGCGAGACCGACAAGUCGGGCAGGUGCGAAAGCAGGACAUAGUGAUCCGGUGGUUCUGUAU